rnacentral:rRNA from 1 species
CGGACGGGUGAGUAAUACAUCGGAACGUGUCCCGUAGUGGGGGAUAGCCCGCGAAGCCGGAUUAAUACCGCAUAUGCUCUACGGAGGAAAGUGGGGGACUCGCAAGGGCCUCACGCUAUGGGAGCGGCCGAUGUCCGAUUAGCUUGUUGGCGGGGUAAUGGCCCACCAAGGCUACGAUCGGUAGCUGGUCUGAGAGGACGACCAGCCACACUGGGACUGAGACACGGCCCAG